CGGGCGUAGCAAUACGUCAGCGGCAGACGGGUGAGUAACGCGUGGGAACGUACCUUUUGGUUCGGGAUAACCCAGGGAAACUUGAGCUAAUACCGGGUAAGCCCUUACGGGGAAAGAUUUAUCGCCGAAAGAUUGGCCCGCGUCUGAUUAGCUAGUUGGUGAGGUAACGGCUCACCAAAGCGACGAUCAGUAGCUGGUCUGAGAGGAUGGCCAGCCACAUUGGGACUGAGACACGGCCCAA
rnacentral:rRNA from 1 species